rnacentral:lncRNA from 1 species
GAUUUUGCUCGGGGGAGAUGAUGGGUCAUUGGCUUUUGUUCCGAGUGAAUUCAGUGUGAGCAAGGGAGAGAAGAUUGUGUUCAAGAACAAUGCUGGGUUCCCACACAACGUUGUGUUCGACGAGGAUGGAAUUCCCGGCGGAGUUGAUGCUGGCAAGAUCUCCAUGGCCGAAGAGGAUCUGCUUAAUGCCGCAGGAGAGACUUUUUCUGUUACCUUAACCGAGCCUGGAGAGUACGCAUUCUACUGUGCCCCUCACCAGGGUGCUGGCAUGGUAGGAAAGGUCACCGUUUCCUAAGCUUUAACGGUCAUUGCGAGCGUCUCUUCCUUUGCUUUUCCUUUCUUAGGGCUCUCC